rfam:TPA: Bos taurus chromosome 22, whole genome shotgun sequence.
UCCCUAAUGGCUCAGAUGGUAAAGCAUCUGCCUACAAUGCGGGAGAUCUGGGUUCGAUCCCUGGAUAGGGAA